CUCUGUGACUCCUACGGGAGGCAGCAGUGGGGAAUAUUGCACAAUGGGCGCAAGCCUGAUGCAGCAACGCCGUGUGAGUGAAGAAGGUUUUCGGAUCGUAAAACUCUGUCCUAAGGGAAGAAAAAAUGACGGUACCUUAGGAGGAAGCCCCGGCUAACUACGUGCCAGCAGCCGCGGUAAUACGUAGGGGGCAAGCGUUAUCCGGAAUCACUGGGCGUAAAGGGUGCGUAGGCGGCUUGACAAGCCAGGGGUGAAAGGCAUUGGCUCAACCAAUGUAAGCCUUUGGAACUGUUAAGCUUGAGUGCAGGAGAGGUAAGUGGAAUUCCUAGUGUAGAGGUGAAAUUCGUAGAUAUUAGGAGGAACACCAGUGGCGAAGGCGACUUACUGGACUGUAACUGACGCUGAUGCACGAAAGCGUGGGUAGCGAACAGGAUUAGAUACCCUGGGAG
rnacentral:rRNA from 1 species